UAAAAGAGCAGACUUGGAGCUCGUAAUGUGC
rnacentral:piRNA from 1 species